rnacentral:rRNA from 1 species
GAUGAACGCUAGCGGGAGGCUUAACACAUGCAAGUCGAGCGGCAGCACGGACUUCGGUCUGGUGGCGAGCGGCGCACGGGUGCGUAACGCGUAUGCAACCUGCCUUAUACAGGGGGAUAGCCCAUGGAAACGUGGAUUAAUACCCCAUAACAUCAUGAAUUCGCAUGGAUUUAUGAUUAAAAUUUCGAUGGUAUAAGAUGGGCAUGCGUCUGAUUAGCUAGUUGGUGAGGUAACGGCUCACCAAGGCGACGAUCAGUAGGGGUUCUGAGAGGAUUAGCCCCCACACUGGUACUGAGACACGGACCAGACUCCUACGGGAGGCAGCAGUGAGGAAUAUUGGUCAAUGGGCGAGAGCCUGAACCAGCCAUCCCGCGUGCAGGAUGACGGCCCUAUGGGUUGUAAACUGCUUUUCUACGCCAAGAAACGGCCCUACGUGUAGGGCACUGACGGUAGCGUAGGAAUAAGCAUCGGCUAACUCCGUGCCAGCAGCCGCCGCAGUAA